rnacentral:rRNA from 1 species
AUGCCCUCCCUCGCCUCCCUCGGCCACACCAUCACCAAAAAGCUUACCCGCGAAAACUUUCUGGUGUGGAAGGCUCAAGUGCUCCCGCAUGUCAGGGCCGCGGCGAUGACGAGCUAUCUUGACGGCUCGAUCAAGGAGCCCGCCGCUGUCAUCGUCAUCGAGAAGGACAACGCCGGGAAGAAGGAGAUCACCGAGGCGCCCAACCCAGAACACGCGAUCUGGGUCACUCAAGAUCAGCAGGUGCUUACCUUCUUGCUCGCCUCUCUAUCCCGCGAGGUUCUGAUGCAGGUUUCCAACCACACCACCGCCGCGGGAGUCUGGCAAGCCCUGGUGGAAAGCUUUUCUGCCCAGUCCCGGGCGCGCCAGAUACAGCUCCGUUCUGCGAUCGGGAACGCACGCAAGGGCGACCUCUCCGCUGCCGCCUACUUCACCAAGAUGAAGAGGCUCGCCGACGAGCUAGCUGCUGCAGGAAAACCGCUUGAUGAAAACGACGUCGUCUCGCACAUCCUGGAGGGUCGCAUGCAUGAGCCCGACUACAACGGCUUCGUCACUUCCAUCUCCACGCGCGCCAUCACCGAUCAACCGAUCGGCCUCAGCGAGCUCUUCUCGCUACUGCUCGCCGCUGAGUCUCGGAUCGCCGCCCAGCACGCCGCCUACACCGCCCAUCACUCUGUCAACCUCGCCGCAAAGGGUGGUCAAGGUGGAUACGGCGGUGGACGCGGCGGUCAGGGUGGUGGACGCUGGUGGCUACAACGGGGGCAACUACAACGACAACUCGAGCGGCGGUGCGCCGCGCCAGCAAGGUGGUGA